rnacentral:rRNA from 1 species
CGUUACCCGGGUUGCGGACAGUGUCUGGUGGGUAGUUUGACUGGGGCGGUCUCCUCCUAAAGAGUAACGGAGGAGCACGAAGGUUGGCUAAUCCUGGUCGGACAUCAGGAGGUUAGUGCAAUGGCAUAAGCCAGCUUGACUGCGAGCGUGACGGCGCGAGCAGGUGCGAAAGCAGGUCAUAGUGAUCCGGUGGUUCUGAAUGGAAGGGCCAUCGCUCAACGGAUAAAAGGUACUCCGGGGAUAACAGGCUGAUACCGCCCAAGAGUUCAUAUCGACGGCGGUGUUUGGCACCUCGAUGUCGGCUCAUCACAUCCUGGGGCUGAAGUAGGUCCCAAGGGUAUGGCUGUUCGCCAUUUAAAGUGGUACGCGAGCUGGGUUUAGAACGUCGUGAGACAGUUCGGUCCCUAUCUGCCGUGGGCGCUGGAGAACUGAGGGGGGCUGCUCCUAGUACGAGAGGACCGGAGUGGACGCAUCACUGGUGUUCGGGUUGUCAUGCCAAUGGCACUGCCCGGUAGCUAAAUGCGGAAGAGAUAAGUGCUGAAAGCAUCUAAGCACGAAACUUGCCCCGAGAUGAGUUCUCCCUGAGACUUUAGGUCUCCUGAAGGAACGUUGAAGACGACGACGUUGAUAGGCCGGGUGUGUAAGCGCAGCGAUGCGUUGAGCUAACCGGUACUAAUGAACCGUGAGGCUUAACCUUACAACGCCGAAGAUGUUUUGGCGGAUGAGAGACGAUUUUCAGCACUGAUUC